GAGCCCCAGCCCCAGGUACAUUAGCGGCAUUACUGCUGGAUGGUGAAGUACUUGAAGAUGUAGAUGGUCCACCUGUUGAAGGCUGUGUCUGAGGAGGAGCCCGUUCAACUAAGUGAAUAACCUUCCCAUCAACAUCUAAAAAAAGCAUACAUGCUAUGUAAGAGCAUGCCAAUAUUAAAAGGACCAUUUAAAACAUAGAUAUACAAGGAAAGUCACACAAAAAACUUACUGUAUUCUUUCAGUUUUUUGUCCUCUUGCAGUACUCGCCCCUGAUAUAUAAGCCGCUGUUUCUCUGGUGAAAUUCCAACAUCAGAUGAAAUAUGUGUUUUGAAUUCCUUUACUGUGAUCUAGGGGAGAAAGAGUACAGAGUCUACCUCUCUCUUUCUUAAGGUGGCCAUGCAUGAUUUUUGUCAUUCAAAAUAAAGAAUUUUUCCGGAUGGGCUUGUUAUGGGGGCAUACUCACCAAUUAAUAUAAAGGGCCCAUGUAACCCCUAAAAUGUUAACUACCCAUCACUACAACAUGACAUGUAUAUGACUACAACGCGGUGACAUUUGUAAUAUCUCUUUGUAUACUUCAAACGUUUUAUGUCAGUACCUAUUGAUGUGAUUUUUGUUUGCAAUAAAACUUACCUGAACAAAAAAUAAAAUAAAGGGCCCAGAUGCA